ACACACACACACACACAAAAUACAUUUUCUAUCUGUCUCACAGCAUGUUAGUGGCAACAACGGUAGUUCUGUUCCUAUGGUUACCUGAUCAGCAUCUUCUUUCAUCUUAAAACAUACAACGGAAAGUUAAUAUUGUGGUAUAUAUUACACACAAUAUUGUCUGAGUAUGUACUUUAACUUCACUACAUUUCUAUCAAGGUCCUCGAAGUAGAAAGGCGUUACUAUGCAGAAGUCUUUUAUUUAUUUAUUUAUUUUUAGACAGCCUAUCAGUAAUCUACUUUUCUAGGGUUACGUGAAGUGAUUUCCCAGCUAUUUUUCUGAACACUGACCAGUUGCACAUGUGAUAUUUAUUUACAACAAUUCAACGGAAAGUUAAUAUUGUGGUAUAUAUUACACACAAUAUUGUCUGAAUUUAGCAAAAUUAUGUAAAUUAAAAUAUUAGCUAUAAAACCACAGAACUGUCAUGCGUACAUUGUUGAUUAAUGUUUAAUUAAAAUGUAUGUUUACUAAUAUAUAGUUUUAAAAUAUAAAUGUUUAUUUAAUUAAAUGUAAAUAUUUUCAGUUCUUUGUUUUGAAGAUGUAUAACUUAUUGUAUUUACUCAAUGUUUAAUGUAAUUAAACUAUGAUUGUUUAUUGUUUAAUUAAAAUAUAUUUUUUAAAUGUUUAAUUUAAAUGUAAUUUGUUAACAGUUUUUUUAUUAAUUUAAUGUAAAUAAUUUCAGUUUUGUUUAUAGAUGUAUAAUUAGUUUUUGUUUUUUAUGCAAUUAAACGCUUAAUUAAAAUAAAUGUUUUUUAUAUUGUUUUCUUAAAAUGAAUAUAUUUAUUGUUGAUUAAUUCAUUUAAUAGUACAUAAUGUUUUUAUAUGUAUACACACACGCGUGCAUAAAUUAUUCUUGUGUACAUUUGUGUAUUUAUGUACGUUUUUAUGUUUAUUUAAAAAAAAAUUAUAAAAGUAUUGUUAUUUAAUGAUUAAUGUGUGUAUAUUUGAAAGAUUUACAAAGAUGAAAAAAGCAACUUUCAAACGGUUUUUUAAAACAAAACAAAACAAAAAACAUUGUGUAAGCCCCACCGUGUCCUCUGGUUCUGCGUCUUUAGGCUCAUCAGGCUCAGAUUCUGGGGCGGCCGCAGAGCUCGUGUCCACAGCAGCAGCAGACGAGGGCGCCGUCUCUUCCUAUGUGGAUGUGGGCGGGGCUGUCGCCUCUUUGGUCUCCUCUGAUUGGAUGGCCUCUUCUGGCUGGGACUCCAGAAGCUCCUCCUCCACUUCCUUAUGUUUCUUCUUUUUCUUUUCCUCUUUGCUCCUCUACAAAACAUCAAAACCACCAUAUGAAUAUUAAUGAAGUGGAAUUACAAAAACAAACCCUCUUAAUUGCUUAAAUACAGAGAUGUGUGUAUACAAUCAUUUUUCAUGCAAAACUGCCAUCUCACCUUCCGGUCCUUCUCCUUGCCUUUCUUCUUCUCUUUCUUCUCCUUACCGCUCCCCUUGUUGGUCUCCUGCGGGAUGCUCUCGUUGACUCUGUCCUCGGCAGGGCUCUUCAGCACCUCUGGACGGUGGGUCCUCACGGGAAGCUUCUCGCUGUCUGCAAGCGGCCUGGAAAGAAUAAGACACACAGAGAUUAGAUGCACAGAAAGAAAAGGAGAGUAUGAGCAAUAGAGAUAACCAGUCACAUGGAAGCUAGGAAAGGCUUCAGUUUAUUCAACAUGUGUGUCAAAAGUCCAAAGGCCUGUUCGCAACAAGUCAGUGCCACACAAGUAUAACAUUUCAUCAGCUAAUACAUCUCAAACUGUUGUUCUUACAUCAACCAAUCGGUGUUAAGAAAUGAUUUAAUUUAACAAAUAAAAACUAGGUGUGAAGGAAUUUGCUUUGCUUCAUUUGAAAUCUUGUGUUGCAUUGUGUUUUGUGUCAGAAAUUGAGAUUUGGUGUGAAGAGGCCUUUAAAUCAGUAAAAUGUUCCUGUACAACAACAAGCUGAAAACAGCUGAGGGGUUUAAAAUCUGUGCCCACAAGUUUCAAGGGAAAAGUCAAAGCCAGGCAAGGCUGUCAAUGCUGGUGUGCACUGUAUAUACAACACCAUUAAAAAGUUUGAGGUCAGUAAGAUUUUUAAUAUUUUUGAAAAAAAAAAAAGAUCAGUUUUAUUCAGCUAGGAUGCAUUAAAUUGAUCAAAAGUGACAGUAAAUGCAUUUAUAAUGUUACAAAAGAAUUUGAUUUCAAAUGAACUUCCUAUUUAAAGAAUGCUGAAAACAACUCAUGAUUUCUAUAAAAAAAAAAAUAUUAACCAGCACAACAGUUUUCAACAUUGUUAAUAAUAAGAAAUGUUUCAGAAAUCACAGGAAUAUAUUUAAACUUUAACAUAUUAAAAUAGAAAACAGUCAUUUUGAAUUGUAAUAAGUUUUCACAAUAUUAUAGCUUUUUUUUUUUUUUUAUUUUAAUUAAAUAAUAUUAUAGUCUUUUUUUUUUUUUUUUAAUUAAAUAAAUGCAGCCUUGGUACAAAAAGUGAAUAAAGUCUUAGCAACCCCAAACUUUAGAACCAAAGUGUUCAAGUUGUAGCAAUAUGACCACAGCCAAAACCCAACCUGCAGGUGAGCUGAUCAGUCAUGCACAAUGUAUUCUUGACAAAUAUUAUUCAGUCCAACAGUGACAUACUACAAUUGCCAGAAAAAAAAGGAAAUUUGGCAGUUGAUUCCACUGGGUCACAUGACCACAUGAAGUACUUACCUUGAGCUAGAACCAGACAGCAGACUGUCAGGAGGGCAGAUGUGCAUGAGGGAGAGAGAGAGAGAUGGAGAGACACAAGCAGAAAGCAGUGCAUGUAAGAGAGUGGAGAAGAUACAGGAGAACUGGAGAAAGCUCCUCGAUAUCAGAACACGGAAAACCCAACAGAUGCAAAAGACGACUUGAUUUGUUUUGCAUCUGCAUGAACUCUAUGAUGCAAUGACUCCGCAAUCAGCAUCUGCUAAAGACGUCUAAUGAAUGAUAGCCGUGAGAAACAUGAAAAUGAAAACAAUAUCUGGAGGGAAAACAGUGGUGAUACUGAAAAUGAAGUAUUAAUUGUUGUCUUCAGACUGACAGAAAGUGUCUCAGACCAAACCCCGGACACAAAACAAGAACGUGAAAUUUCAGUUUUAGUAAAAAAAGAUUUCCGUGCAUCACUACAUGUAGCGCAUGUAUGAACUGUAGGAGGCAUACAUACUUGUCCAGAUCGAUGUCCAGAGCUUUAUGAGGGUCAUUGGGAUCCUUAUCGUCAUCGUCACUCGGUAAGGCAUUCUGGGAAACAAGACAAACCAACAUUAUUGCAUAUAGUUUUGUGGAUAAAAAUAACAACUCCAAAAUAACAGCUGCUCACCUCUGGCAUUUCCUCUGUGACUAUGUCCACCUGGUGAGCGGGCCUUAUGUCUUCCUCGCUCUCGGGACCUGAAUCCGCCUUCCUCUCUUUCCCUCGCUUCUCCCGCUUUUUCUUUUCUCCUUCUUCUUUCUCUCAGCCUUCUCCUUCUGCUGGCGCUCCUCCUCCAGCUUCAGGUAUUGGUCGGACGUGGGCAUCCCUGCACCAGGCAAAGGACAAUGAAAUUAAACUGUGGUUUUAUUUGGUCUGCUGAAAUAGGAGAUUGUAGAUUUGCUCACCUGGGACUUUGAGAGGCACACUAAGGUCGAUCUGCACCACCGGAAUGUGUUCUACACCUGGAGCAUCAUACACCUGCAAUAACAAACAAGUUUGAGGUGCUUAAAAGCAUGCUUCGGCCUGAGGUUUAAGUGAUCGCAGAAAUCCUUUGACUGGUACCUUCUGAGAUGAUGGUGAGGCCUUGAUGUAGAAUGGGUUGUUGGCCUGUUCCUGCUUCCUGACUUCCCUCCUCUGUGUGAAAUUGGACAAGUGUAUUAGGACUAGGGGUGGAUGAUAUGACCAAAAUCACAAUACCAGUCAUUUUAUUUAAUGGUAAGUAACGACAUAGAUCAUGAUAUAGUUAUUUUUGCUUUAAAUAAGGUCUCUGUUAUAUCAAAAUAUUUGAUACCAUAGAAAUGUCAUAAUUCUUGUCACAAGUGUCAAUAAAACUAACACUAGCCUAAAAAAAAAAAAAAAAAAAAAAAUACCUCAAGCUCACUAGAAAACAAGUAAACAAUCAGCGAUUAAAUAAGAAUUAAAAUCUAAUUAGAAGCAAUUACAGUAGAACAAAUAAAUAAGAAAUGCUACAUAUAUUGCAUAAAGUAAUCAAAUGUAUAAAAACACUGGAUAUUCUUCAGUAUGUAAAUUCAGUUUCUUCUUAUUAAAUUUACAAAAGUGAUUUAGUCAAGAGCAGUGAGAGAUUGUUUCUCUUUUGUUGUUUGAUUACCAUGAAUGCAAUGCAGCAGGAAUAUUAGACUGCUGCCACUUUAAGAGCUGUUUUCUUUCUCUGCUGUUUGCUUUCCACUUAAAGGGAUACUCCACUCCAUGUAUCUGCCAGCCACAAGGAUGCACUGUUUUCUUUCAAAUCAAAGCUAAAUACACGUAGAAACAGCGCAUCCUUGUGGCGCGGAUGAUACAGAAGUGCAUACACAGCAUACGGUGAUAUGAGAAGAGAUGGAGGAAACCGUUGACAAAAGGAAUUGUUAAAUUAAAUCGUUAUUUUUGUUUUCUUGGCUUACAAAAAGUGUUCCCGUCGCUUCAUAUAACCCAGAUUUCACGUCUGAUGGCAGAUGGAGUAUUCUGACGACGACUUUCAUACCUUUUAUGGACCUUGACACAGUUAUUUACUUGGCAGUCUAUGGGACAGUCUCAAGCCUCCCGGUUUUCAUCCAAAAUAUCUUAAAUUUUGGUCCGAAGACAAACAGAGCUUUUACAGGUUUGAUGUGAUUAAUGACAAAAUUUUCAUUUGGGGUGGAGUAUCCAUUUAAGACCUAAUUAUUCCAUUUAUGAGGAUAUUUGCAAAGAUGGCCAUUUUGAAACAGAAGUGUGUGUAUUUAACCAUUCAAGGCCUAUAGAGCAGUAAACAUAACUCUGUUCAAUGCUCCCACGCUCUAGGAGCACAGUCUUCAUGCGCGCACGCCUCACUGAUGGCGCUCAGAAACAGUCUCUUAGACAGAGCACGCAUAUAGUGAAUAUAUACGGUUAAUCAGGUCUACUACCCCUAAUUAUGACAGCUGUAUUUUUAUAUUUUCUGUAGGUCUGAAGAACAGCGUGGACUUACCCUGGCCAACUCUUUCUCGUCCACCUCAGUAUGUCUUGAUCUGGAAUGCUUGUGUUCCUCUUUAGUGAACACCGCUUUGGGUUUCUCGUCCUCAGACUCGCUCUCAGAUGGAGGCUCAUUGAUCCAGGCAUCCAAAUCCAGACUGGAGGGGGAAAACAACAGCUGAAACAUCUAUUUUUUCGAUUCCCUUGAUAUAAACUCAAUGACUCACCCUUCUGGUAUAGGCUACUUUCUUCGUGGGACCGUUGGGGGCCACGAGGUAGCUUCUGAAUGUACUUCACCAGCUGGAGGAUGCAGGACGCCUGCGGGGGAACACCAUGGUUAAUGUUGCAGUAUAUGAUCUCUAAAAAAAACCCACAUCAGACCAUAAAAGUGGUUGCUACAGAUAUCUGCUAACUGGAAGGCAUUCGUAACGUUGCAAGCUAGCAUGUUUCAAACACAUUUAAAAAAACACCACGCUGGCAUGUUUAGCACAUUGCUAACAUGAUUCAGCAUAUUACCAACCAUGUUAACUUAUUGCUAAGACUAAAAAAAAAAAAACUUAAUAAUACUGUUCAGAU
rnacentral:lncRNA from 1 species